AAAGCGACCCGUUUGCAGCUGCGCACUGCGAUGAGGUGCGCGGUGGCUGGGAGAGGGUUCUCCCUCUGUAGGCGGCUGAAGCCCUUCCGGGCGGAAGAAGGUGGAGUUGCUGAUCCGCGUAUCCGGGAGUGCGGGGGAAAGAUGCCGGGGUUUGAGCCGCAGGAUUCCCUGUUAGUUGUGAUCCCUCUCUUCCUGGAGAAGAACAGGAAACCUUUGAUUUAGGACCCACAGAAAUCCUGACUUAACUUGAUCAUAUCUGCAAAGAUUCUGUCUCCAAAUGAAGGCCUGACGUUCUUGACUUACGUGGAGUUUUUGGAACACCAUUCAGUCCAUGAGUGAGAAGGCAGACGACGACAAUGAUGACAGAGUACUGCUCCAGAACUAGACACACAGGACGGCGUCACACCAGGGCUAGUCUUGAUGCUUUUGAAAGGCCUUUCCAUCUCACAGGAAGACUCCCUUAGGAGCUCAUUAGACCAAAGUGCUUGACAAGCUGGAAAAGAAGCUCUUGGACCCACAGAGGCGAAGUCGUGGGGGACACUUGACACAGUCCCAGGGUCCACGUUAGGAACCCCACUGAAGUGGCAGAGCUUACUAAAAACACAGGUUCUGAACAUGUGCCCUGACUUUAGGAAAGACCACCUGGAGAUGUAACCAGCAUUCACAAUGUGAUACACGCAUUCAGAGACAAGACCAACAUCUGCUACUGAACACACAAAAGACCACCCAGGGGUACGACUGGCAUCUUGGAAGCCUGUGAACAGAACAUCCAGAAACAAUACUGGAACCAGCACCUAGGCAAGGGGUUUGUAUCCAGACUGCAUCGCCACGCACUUCCUCUUUCCUUACUGUAUUCCUCCCUUGUUUGAUGUCUGACAUCAUUUGAGUGGACCAGCUUGGUUCGCUCUGACCUCAUUCCUUCUUUUCCCCUUUCCUUCCUGCCUUUUGGAUAGGCUUUCCCAAAGAACGCAGGCUGGCCUGGAGUUGGGGGUGUCUGUGCCUCAGCCUCUUGAGAGCUGGGACUGUGUGAGGCUGUCUGGUUGUGUUUCUUUCCUUUCUCUCUUUUCACUCCGACUUCAGUAUCAUCUCCUUCCCAUGCCUCUGUUGUUCCUCCCUGCGUUUUUCCUCCUCUAUUUCUUUCUCUGUUAUUCUAAUAAUUAUUGCUAGACUUACUUUGCAUAUUUCCUUAUUAUUUAUAUCCUCAGUAACUACUGUCUUGGAGCACACAGUACUAUUUGGGUUCUUUUACUUCCUAAAACUACUGAAGUUGAAGGGGUGACAGUGUUUUAAGUGACUGGCAUUCUACUCUCUGAACAGUCCUGAAAAUUGAACUUGUUGCUCUGAGCAUGUGGCUUGAAAGUCUAACUACUGAACUACCCCUGAUCUAUCAGAGAAACAACAUCUUAAGCCUAUUAUGACUUAGUCUUAUUUGAACAUUGCAAACAUUUCCACUAAAUAAACAUGAGUUAUUAAGGAAGGAAAUCCAACAACAAUUUAAUCCGGGUUGUUAGAGUCCCAGUGCAAAAAACACAAGAAACAUGAAAGACCAAGGCAACGUGACUUCUCCAAAAAUUACUAAUCCCACAGUAA